CAGAGGGGAGGGUAGGAGCAGCAUUCGCAGAGGACUUGGCAUGCAAAGGAAGAAAAGUGGAGCUCCUGGCAGGACGCCAGCUGUUCUCCCUCUCACUGACUUGCCCUCUCAGUUUGCCGCAGAGAAAAGAACGUGCUUCCCCUACAGUCUACUAGCACUCAUCUGCUAUCUCCCUACCCUUCCCCCUCUCCUGGAGUGCACAGCCUGACUCAUUAGUCAGGGCCAGGGCCGGAUGUGCUGCAAAAGGGCUGUUGAUAAAGAAUGAACUAAAUCUACACUGAACUUCACCAUAAAGACUACGCUUCUUGCAAGAGCACAUGGGUAUCUCCUGUUCUGCAGCACACUGUUAGCUGCUGGAGAGCUUACUGUAACUGAAAAGUAUACCUGAGACAUGAAACACAUACAGAUUUUCUCAAAGAAGUUUUACGUCGUCAUGUUCCUCAUUCGUAUGACUUAACAAAAGAGACAGAGAGUCUCUAUGCACUCAAAUCCCUGAACUAUGCACACAAAUUCCUGAACCCCAAUGGGAUGCACCCACGAGUGCUCAGGGAGCUGAAAGAAGUGAUUGCAAAACUGCUCUCAUUUUUAAAGAUCAUGGAGAAUUGGAGGGGUGACUGAAGACUGGAGGAAAACCAAUGUCACUCCAGUCUUCAAAAAAGUGAAGGAGGAAUGAGGAAUCUACAGGCCAGUUAACCUCAACAUUAUCCCUGGGGAGAUGAUAGAACAGCUUAUUUUGAAUGUCAUCUCCAAGCAAGUGGAAGAAAAUAAGCUUACCAGGAGCAGUCAACAUGGAUUCACCAAAGGGAAAUCAUGCUUGACAAAUAUGGUAGCCUUCUAUGAUGUCAUGACUCACUGGGUAGAUGAGGGAAAAGCAGUGGAUAUUCAGCAAGUUUUUUUGUUUUGUUUUGUUUUUGUUUCUGUUUUUCAUAGAAGCAUAGAACAUCUUGAGUUAGAAAGGACCCGUAAGAAUUGUCAAGUCCAAGUCUGGGCUCCUCACAGAACCACCCAGAACUCAGACCAUAUGAUGCAUCUGGAACUCUGUCAGCUUGAGGCUGUGACCACUUCCAUGGGGAGCCUGUUUUUUAUCGGUGUCCUCGUACCAAUUCCUGUGACCUGAUAUCCAUGCCCUAGUAGCAGCAUGGAAUUUCAUAUGAUUAAGUAUAGUUUUAGAGUAAGUUUCAUGAACUUCUGAAAAUUGAUUCUGCUGAGAUUUAGAUAACAACAGUAAGCUUAUCUGGGAGGGGUGCAGUCUUCCUCUUCCAUGCUCUCAUAGUAUCUCUCAUAGUAGAUGAGUGGACAGUAAAGUGCACUGAGAUCAGUAAAGCUCUGAGUGUUGCAAUCAGUGCCCCAGAGCCUAGAUGGAGGCCUGUAGCUAGCAGUGUUUCCCAGGGGUUGGCACUGGGUCCAGUCUUGCAUAAUAGCUUCAUCAGAUGCCUGGCUGAAGGUAGAGAGUGCACCCUCAGCAAGUUAACUGAUCAUACAAAGCUGGGAGGAAUGGCACCUCCAGACAGGUGGCUGUUCAGUGAGACCUGAACAGCCCAGAGGGUUGGAUAGAGAGGAAGCUUAUGAGGUUCAACAAGAUCAAGUGUAGAGUCUUGCAUCUGGGGAGGAGUCAUUUCAUGAGUCUGUAAAGGUUAGAGGAUGGCCUGCUGGAAAGGAGCUCUGCAGAGAAGGACCUCGAUUCUUGUGGGCAACAGGUUUGCCAUGAGCCAGCAAUGCACCCUUGUGGCCAAGAAGGCCAAUAGUAUCCUGAGGUACAUUAAAGAGAACACGGCCAGCAGGUCGAGGCAUAUUCUCCACCUGACCUAUUCUCUCCUUGCAAAGCCACAUCUGGAGUUGUGUGACAAGAUGUGGGCUCCUCAGUUCAAUAAAAACAUGGAACUUCUAGAGAGAAUCCAGCUGAGGGCCACAAAGAUGAUUAGGUGCCUGGAGCAUCUCCUUUAUAAGUAAAGGCUGAGAAACCUUUGAUUGUUCUGCCUGGGGGAGAGAAGAGUGAUGAGGGAUCUUAUCAAUGCUUAUAAAUAUCUAAGGGAUGGGUGUCAGAACAGUGUGGUCAGCUGCUUUUUGGUGGUUCCCAGAGACAGAAUAAAGGGCAGUGGGUACAAACUGCAACAGAGGAAGUUCCAAAUGAACUUCUUUACUUUGGAGGCUACAGAGAACUGGAAGAAGCUGCCCAAAGGAGUUGUGGAGUCCUUUUCUCUGGAGAUAUGCAAAACCCCCCUGGACACUUUCUUCUGCAACCUACUGUAGAGAACCUGCUUUAGCCAGGGGAUUGGACUAGACGUUCUCCAGAGGUCCCUUCCAAUCCCUAUGAUUCUCUGGUUCUGUGUUAGAUUCACCUUUAUCAGAUGUGUAUCACCAGUUUGAUGAUCUCUCAAACAAAAUCUGUCAAAUGACAACAUAAUUUACAGUGAUAACAUAUGAAAUACCUUGUGACCUCAAUUGGUUUUCUUUGACUAUAAGUUUAACUAGAAUUCAAAUAAACCACCAGGAAACUCUUGUAUCUUUUUAGAGAUUUACCUAUUGCAAAAAAAAAAUGACCUCCUGCUCAACUGUUCUGAUAUAUGCAUAUUAGAGAGUGUCUUUAAGAUAUUUUGAAGACUAAAAAUAUGUAUAUUUACUGUAGAGUUUUUGUAUAUCUUUUUGUUAUUAUCAAAACAAUAAAAAAAUACACAUUCCCAUUUCCAGGUACAAUUUAGAAUAUAAAGCAAGAAAGAAACUAUGUAUUUGAGGAAAUUAAGUGUUAUACAGUACAGAAUCUGGUACAGAAUUGGCACUCUGCAGAAGUCAAGAAUAAUCUCAAAACAUCACAAAAAAAAAAGAAAAGAAAAAAGAAAAAUAAUAUUUACAAAGUUUUUUGUUUACAGUUUUGCAGUUUAACUUGCGUGCUAAGAAGUAUCGAAUCUAUAGAAAAAAAACGUUUUUACUCUGACCUCUUUCUACAUUGUUUCUGGCUUGUUUGCUUUGUUUAUUUAAAGCACAUCAUUGAGACAGCUGAAAGUAGAUCAGUAAACUGUGAAAUGUCUCUGACAGUAUAGUAGGAAGUUCAUUUGAUGUAAUAAGUUGGAGUUGAAAGGUGGUUUUAUAUUUUUUCCUGAAUAUGAACAACUAUUGCCAGUUGCAACUAUUGAGCAUAUGGCUAACCAUUUUUUAUGAAUUUAAUAUCUUUGAUCUGAGAAUAUAUUUCAUCUACAAGAGAAGAAAUCAGACAUAAACAUUAGCUGCAGAAAAAAAUGUGACAGCUUGGUUUAGGGUGGUAAAUAGAAAUUUAUUCUCUCACACACACACACACACACACACAAGAUAAAUAUAAAGCAAGAUGUGCAUCUCUCAAUAAUUUCUUAAGGAAGAAAACACCAUUCCAGUGAUAAAUGAAGUCUUGCUUGCUUAACUGUUGAAUACUAUCAGUUUGUAAAACAGAGAUAGGUAGUGAAGUCUGUGUACAAGACAUUCCUGAAAGUAUUGUUAUUUUACUCUGAACUAUAAAUGUUAAAGUCUUAAUUAAAGAGAUAUGAAAAAGGUGUGAUAUGCUGAAUUAGUUGAUGAAUUGCUUGUUUGAUUAAAGUAUAAUUAAACAGAUUUGUUUUUAUUUCAUAUUCCAUAAAUGAUAAAUGACUCUCAAACUAGUUCCAUAAUUAAGAUACACAUAUAGUAAGUGAAGAGAUUAAUGUUUAAUUAACUAAGGUCUUAACUAUAAUACUUGAGGCGAUAUUCAUUAAGGAAAAUCUACAGUAGUUAUGCUGGGCUGACAGUUUUUUUUUUUUAUGGAGCUUUUGUAUCAAAGAUAUUGUGUAUGAAGAACUAGGAUAAUUUCUGGAACAGCCACAGGGCUUUUUCUUCAAAGAGGUCAUUCAUAGGUAUAGAUUUUUACUUUUUAUAAAUUAUACAUCUGUGCUGAUGAAAAUUUACUGAUUCUAACACUGGGUACCUUAGAUAGCUCCUUGAUCAAAUUAAUCUUGACCAUGAUUAUAUAACUGAAAUAAGAUAAUAUUGAAUUCACUUUUUUUUUUUUUGAGUAAAGGUGAGGAAAUGAUAAAUUCAGUAAGAAUUUUGAAAUUUGGUUUCAUCGUGGUUCAAAAUGAAACCUAAGCAUCAUUCUCUACAUAAGUAAUUUUUUUUUUUGUUGUACUGUAUGGAAACUGUUGAAUCACAGCUUGAACCACUGAUUGACCACCUGAGGCGAGCACUGAGUCAGCUGCAGGGGCACAGAUGAACACAAUUUCACCUGAGUCACCGGAAGGGAUCUGAAGCAGGACUGAAAGCAUAAGAUUUUGUUGCUGCUUUUUCCUGCCUUAUUCAGAGGCCUGAAACUAAAUCUGGAAUUUCUAGAUAUCAGCUUUUCAGUACUGACAGAACUCUAACUCAGUACUAGGAUAUAUUUUCUACCAGAGAAGAAGAACUACAUAUCCCAGAGGGCCUCACAGUCAGAGAAGGAAGAUACAUCAUGGAAGAUGCGUCAUCUGGUUCUGCACGGUCUUUUCACUUUCGCUUGCUGCCAGGGAGAGGAGUGGGUGUACUUCCAAGCCGUGCGCCUUCAUCAAAAUAUCCUGUCACUGACCAAGAGAGAAGCUGCAUUCUGCAUACAUACUGCCUACCAUAAGAUUCACAGAACACUGCAAAACUGCAAUGAUAAAGAUGAACUUCACUAGAGUGAAAUGCAUAAUCAUAGAAUCACAAAAUCACCAAGAUGGAAAAAUAUCUCCAACAUCAUUUAGUUCACCUAUCACCAAUACUUCCUCACUAAACCAUGUCCUUCAGUAUAUCUAAAUGUUUCUUGAACAUCUCCAGGGUUGAUGACUUCUCCACCUCCCUGGGCAGCCCGUUCCAGUGCCUAACGACUCCUUCAGAGAAGAAGUAUUUCCUAAUAUCCCACCUGAAUCUCCCCUGGUGCAACUUGAGGCCAUUCCCUCUAGUCCAGUUGCUAGUCACAUGGGAGAAGAGUCCAACCCCCACUUCACUACAACCUCCCUUCAGGUAGCUGUAGAAAGCAAUCAGGUUUCCUAUGAUGCUCCUUUUCUCCAGACUGAACAAUCCCAAUUCCCUCAACUGCUUCUCAUAAGGCUCAUGCUCCAGACCCCUCACCAUCUUUGUUGCCCUUCUUUGAACACGCUCCAAGGCCUCAAUGUCUCUCUUACAGUGAGGGGCCCAAAACUGAACACAGUAUUCAAGGUGCAGCCUCACCAGUGCUGAAUACAGUCCUAUAAAGGACACAGAGGAGGUCUCAUCAAAGCAUAUAAACAUCUGAAGUGAGGAUGAAAUGAAGAUGGUGAUAGGAUCUUUUCAGUGGUGUCCAUUGACAAGACAAGAGGUAAUGAGCACAGACUGCUAAAGUGCUUUCCAACCUAAGCCAUUCUGUGCUUCUGUGAAAUACAAAAGAUACCAUCUAAACAUCAGGAAAUAGUACUGUGUGUGUGACAGAACACUGGAUCAGGUUAUAAGGAGAGGACAUGGAGUUUUCCUCCUUGGUGAUACUCAAAAGUCAUCCAAACAUGAUCCUGGGCAACUGGCUCUAACUGUUCUGAUUGCUGCAGAAUGCAAGGAUAACUGGAGGCAUUUCUGCUGUUAGAGUGGUGUCAGGAACAAGGAAAAUAAGUGAAAUGUCUCAAAGCUUGUCACAUUCUGGACUACUCCCAAGAUGAGGUGGCUCGGCCUUGUGUGAAGGCCCUGGCUUCUCCAGUGUUCAUUCUGACAACAGAUUCUUCAUGCUGAAGAAGAGUUUUCUGACAACAGACUCCUCAUGAAAAACAGGUUUCUGAAAGCAGAUUCCUCACGACCUGAGACCUGCAUACUGAAGAAGAACAAGAAGUUUUCUGACAUAAGAAGCCUCACAACCUGCCUCUCCCUCCUGGACUUGCUCUGCAUUCUACCUGCUUGCUUCCUAAGGUUGGCCUCUCUGCUGCUGCUCUCCCCCUGAGAAGGUGUCUGCCAUCAGAUCCCUCACUACGGAAGGUCUGCAUGCUGACAGACUCUCCAGGGCCUGUUAUGGGAGGCUUGCUGCUUCCUCCUGGACUUCUUCCUGGACCUACUCGGUACCUGCACCUUCUUGCUGCCCAAGACCAGCCAUGCUGCUGCUGCUCUUCCCCUGUGCUUUUGCCCCAGACCAUCAGAAUGUCAUGCAGUGGGACUGCUGCCAGAUCCUGGUGGUGACUAUCCCCACUUUACACAAUUCUUGCCUCUUUCUAUCUUUUCUAUCACCCGCCUUCCCUUCCCUAUCACCCUAAAUCAUCCGUCCUCCCCUUCCCCAUCUCCCUUAUUAAGAUUUGUAAUAAACUGGUCGGACCAACAUUUGAACCGUUGUUUCUUAAUCUCACGCCGGGUAUACAUAUAUCAAAGAACUUCCUCUCCCUCCUAUAAAUUGGAGCAAGACAGCAGGAUACCCUACCGUGAGAGUAUUACCUUCUUGGCAACACAGGAACAAUUUAGGAAAUAGAAUGAAUCAUUGGAAUUGUACAGCUAGAGGAGAUUAGGCCAUUCUUUGGAUGGCAUUAUUCAAGUAAAGUGGUAAUAGUUCAACAUAGGCUGAUUCUCUUAGAGGGGAGACUGACUUGCAGAAAACUGAGGACACUUUAUUUCUGAAAGACAGUAUCCAGGGGCACAAAUGUACUUAUACUGCAAACCUGAACCAAGUGGAAACAAUAUGAAAUUUCGUAUUGAGAUGCUGUCUUUCUUUUGUUAAAAUACAGUCUGAGAUUUUGUUGUUACUUUUGUUGUACUAAUCAAGAAACACUUCAAAUGCAGAUCACGCAUUAAGUUUGACAAGCAAGGAAUUUUUUCCCAUCAUUUUAUGUUUCUUUUAAUUUCCCAAUCCAUGAAACAGGAGGAGAGAAGGUCUUUACCUGGUAUUUUAUGUGUGACUCAGUCUGAAGGUAAUGUCCAGAAAAGGUAGGUUAUGUUCAGAUAUAAGAAAAAAUUAUUGUCAUAAAAUUUCAGCAUCAAUUGUACAGAAUUCUGAAGUAACAAAUAGUACAAAGUUAGAUAGUCAGAACAUUUUUUUUUUCCUAAAUGAAUGUUAAUUUUCUAAGUAACAUUCAAAUGUAUUACAAUGGAUUUUUUCCCUUGAAUUGUUUGAUUAAUUUAAUUUGUACUGUUUACAUCUGAACAAAAAAAUAAAAUACAGCAGCAAAUCAGGUUAAAUGUGCUAUAUUUCAAAUAGAUGCAGAUUAACUUUUCUGAAUGAUUCGCUGACAUUAAAAAAUAAAAUGAUCAAUGCCAAAAUAAGACAAUUAUUUUAUUAUUUGGCAUAAUGUUGGUAAUACAAUCGUAAUCAAAAUAUCACAAAAUAGUUUAUUACAUAAUUACAGCGCAUUUUGUGUGUGUCUCCAUUCUUCCUCUAUGGGUGAAGUUUAAAUAUUCUAGAAAUGUGCCAAUUUUCAAACCACAGAAAAGUAAUUUCAUUUUUAUAUAGAAGUGUUAUUUUGCACUGAGGUUUUCUAAAACUGAUAUAAGAUAUUAUGUAAAUUAUAACAAGUUACAAAUCAAUGUAUUCAGAUGUAAUUUCCAUUCAAGAAAAAUGUGCAUCCCUUUUAAAUGUUAAGAAAGGCAUUUGAUGCCUCUGUGUACACAUAUCUCCUGCAGAUGCUUCACAGAGAAAUAUGGAGUGCUUCUUUGUUUUCUAUUUCAAAAGGCAGGAGACUAGAAAUAGAUUAAAGCAUGUGAUUUUCUUCUUUAUGGGACACUUUAAGUCAUUCUCUCUUCCUGAGCAACUUAAGAGAGUGUGGGGAAGGGAAGCAAGGCUGAACUUUUGCUUUGUUUUAACAACUUUUUUUUUUUUUUUUUUUGCUUUGAUAGCUCUUUUGACAGUCUCUUCAUGACACAUACAGUUACCUAAGAGUGUAGAAAUUAUAAACUAAUAAUUUAUUUCUGUAUGUUGAGGAGAAGGAUUAAGACCAGAUAAUAUCUUAGUAUUCUAAGAUCAGUAACUUAAAUAGGCUGAUAUAAAUCAGGAACCUUUAAGAUACAAUUAAAAAAAAAAUCAGUUUAAAGAGAGCACUACAAGUGGAAGUUUGAGGGUAAUUCAUAUGAAAUUAUACAGGAAGAAAAGCUGUGCAUCUUAAAAGCUUGGAAAGAUUACAGCAUAAAUUUAGGAG
ensembl:lncRNA